rnacentral:rRNA from 1 species
UAGACAACUUGCCCAGAGAUUUGGGAUAACACCGAGAAAUUGGUGCUAAUACCGAAUAAUAUCAUAUUGACCCCGGUCUUUGUGAUCAAAGGUGGCUUCGGCUACCGUCUUUGGAUGGGUCUGCGUCUGAUUAGCUAGUUGGUGAGGUAAUGGCUCACCAAGGCGACGAUCAGUAGCUGGUCUGAGAGGAUGAUCAGCCACACUGGGACUGAGAUACGGACCAGACUUC